AAUGAACGUUGGCGGCGUGGAUUAGGCAUGCAAGUCGAGCGAGAAGGAUCCUUUGCUUGCAUUGGAUCUGGAAAGCGGCGAAAGGGAGAGUAACGCGUAGGGUAUCUGCCCCCAGGCCUGGGAUAGCGGCGGGAAACUGCCGGUAAUACCGGAUAAUGUCCCUGGACCAAAGGUGUGAUUCCGCCUGGGGAUGGCCCUGCGUCCUAUUAGCUUGUUGGUGAGGUAACGGCUCACCAAGGCAAAGAUGGGUAGCGGGCGUGAGAGCGUGGCCCGUCUCACUGGGACUGAGACACUGCCCAGACACCUACGGGUGGCUGCAGUCGAGAAUCUUCCGCAAUGGACGCAAGUCUGACGGAGCGACGCCGCGUGCGGGAUGAAGGCCUUCGGGUUGUAAACCGCUGUCAGUGGGGUGGAAAUCUUUGAGGGUUAUCCCUCUUAGUUGACCUAACCGCAGAGGAAGUCCGGGCUAAGUACGUGCCAGCCGCCGCCGUAACAC
rnacentral:rRNA from 1 species